UACGAGGGGGGCAAAUGUUGUUCGGAAUCACUGGGCGUAAAGGGCGCGUAGGCGGGUUUCUAAGUCAGGUGUUUAAUCCCGGGGCCCAACCCCGGACAGGCACUUGAAACUGGGAAUCUUGAAUAGGGGAGAGGUCGGUGGAAUUGGAGGUGUAGCGGUGGAAUGCGUAGAGAUCUCCAAGAACACCAGUUGCGAAGGCGGCCGACUGGACCCAUAUUGACGCUGAGGCUCGAAAGCAUGGGGAGCAAACAGG
rnacentral:rRNA from 1 species